GAGCAAGGACCCUAUGGCAGCUUUAAUUAACCGACCCAAAGAGACCCAUUAAUUUCACCCGCCGGGAACAACAAACCUCUAUAUGGGCCGACAAUUUAGGUUGGGGUGACCUCGGAGAACAGAACAACCUCCGAGUGAUUUAAAUCAAGACUAACCAGUCGAAAGUCUUACUUCACUUAUUGAUCCAAAAGUUUGAUCAACGGAACAGGUUACCCA
rnacentral:rRNA from 1 species